rnacentral:rRNA from 1 species
AUACGUAGGGGGCGAGCGUUGUCCGGAUUUAUUGGGCGUAAAGAGCUCGUAGGCGGCUCAGCAAGUCGGCCGUGAAAACCUGAGGCUCAACCUCAGGACGCCGGUCGAAACUGCUGUGGCUAGGGUUCGGUAGAGGAGAGUGGAAUUCCCGGUGUAGCGGUGAAAUGCGCAGAUAUCGGGAGGAACACCAGUAGCGAAGGCGGCUCUCUGGGCCGACACCGACGCUGAGGAGCGAAAGCUAGGGGAGCAAACAGGAUUAGAUACCCGAGUAGUCC